GACGGAGGACCCAAGCGUUAUUCGGAAUUACUGGGCGUAAAGAGUUGCGUAGGUGGUUUUUUAAGCAAGGCAUGAAAUCGUACGGCUCAACCGUACAACCGUGUUUUGAACUGAAAGACUAGAGUGUGGCAGAGGUAGCUGGAAUUUCCGGUGUAGGAGUGAAAUCCGUAGAUAUCGGAAGGAACACCAACGGCGUAGGCAGGCUACUGGGCCAUUACUGACACUGAGGCACGAAAGCGUGGGGAGCGAACGGG
rnacentral:misc_RNA from 1 species